UCCUUGAGAGAACUGUUGCCAAGGAACUCGGCAAAAUGACUCCGUAAGUUAGCGAGAAGGAGUGCUUAAGCAAUUAAGCCGCAGUGAAGAGGCCCAAGCGACUGUUUAACUAAAACACAGCUCUCUGCGAAGUCGCAAGACGAAGUAUAGGGGGUGACACCUGCCCGGUGCUGGAAGGUUAAGAGGAUCUGUUAAGAGCGAUCUGAAGCAGUGAUCCGAAGCCCCAGUGAACGGCGGCCGUAACGAUAACGGUCCUAAGGUAGCGAAAUUCCUUGUCAGGUAAGUUCUGACCCGCACGAAAGGUGUAACGAUUUGGGCGCUGUCUCGGCAGCAGACUCGGUGAAGUCUUAGUACCUGUGAAAAUGCAGGUUACCCGCAACUAGACGGAAAGACCCCAUGGAGCUUUACUGCAGCCUGAUAUUGAAUUCUGGUCAUACAUGUACAGGAUAGGUGGGAGACAAAGAGACGUGCACGCCAGUGUACGAGGAGUCGACGUUGGGAUACCACUCUUGUGUGACCGGGGUUCUAACCUGGUAUCGAGAACAGGUACGGGGAGAGUGUCAGGUGGGCAGUUUGACUGGGGCGGUCGCCUCCCAAAGAGUAACGGAGGCGCCCAAAGGUACGCUCAGAUUGGAUGGAAACCAAUCGUCGAGUGCAAUUGCAGAAGCGUGCUUGACUGUGAGACAGACAAGUCGAACAGGGACGAAAGUCGGGAAUAGUGAUCCGGCGGUGCCGAAUGGAAGGGCCGUCGCUCAACGGAUAAAAGCUACCCUGGGGAUAACAGGCUGAUCUCGCCCAAGAGUUCACAUCGACGGCGAGGUUUGGCACCUCGAUGUCGGCUCAUCGCAUCCUGGAGCUGGAUUCGGUUCCAAGGGUUGGGCUGUCCGCCCAUUAAAGCGGUACGCGAGCUGGGUUCAGAACGUCGUGAGACAGUUCGGUCCCUAUCUGUUGUGGGCGAAGGAGAUCUGCGGAGAGCUGUCCUCAGUACGAGAGGACCGGGAUGGACCUACCGCUGGUGCACCGGUUGUUCCGCCAGGGGCAUAGCCGGGUAGCUAAGUAGGGAAAGGAUAAGCGCUGAAAGCAUCUAAGCACGAAGCCUACUCCAAGAUGAGAUCUCCCAUUCGCAAGAAGUAAGACCCCUUAAAGACGAUAAGGUAGAUAGGCCAGGGAUGGAAGUGCAGUGAUGUACGGAGUUGACUGGUACUAAUCGGUCGAGGACU
rnacentral:rRNA from 1 species